rnacentral:tRNA from 1 species
GCGCCAGUAGCCCAACGGAUUAGAGCAUCUGACUACGGAUCAGAAGGUUGCAGGAUCGAAUCCUGUCUGGCGCA